rnacentral:sRNA from 1 species
AGAAUUGGAUACUUCUGGUGCUGUGGAUGUGCUGGUGAACUCGUGUUGUCCUGGCUACGUCAAGACGGAUAUGAACAAGCAUUGUGGUCAUUUAACCGUGGAAGAAGGUAUUGUAAAUCCUCUGUAUUGUGUAAUGCUACCACCUAAUGUGAACAGCCCCAGAGGUCAAAUGUUACGAAACAAGGAGCCUUUUGAUUGGGUGAAUUAUCCAAUGAAGUCAAUCGAGAACUAGCUACUAAA